UGGUGGAGUGAUCUGUCUGGUUAAUUCCGUUAACGAACGAGAUCUUAACCUGCUAAAUAGACAGUUUUUUGACUUUCUUCUUAGAGGGACACCUGAUCGUAUAGGUCAAGGAAGUUUGAGGUAAUAACA
rnacentral:rRNA from 1 species